GAGUUUGAUCCUGGCUCAGGAUGAACGCUGGCGGCGUGCUUAACACAUGCAAGUCGAGCGAUGAAGUUUCCUUCGGGAAACGGAUUAGCGGCGGACGGGUGAGUAACACGUGGGUAACCUGCCUCAUAGAGUGGAAUAGCCUUCCGAAAGGAAGAUUAAUACCGCAUAAUGUUGAAAGAUGGCAUCAUCAUUCAACCAAAGGAGCAAUCCGCUAUGAGAUGGACCCGCGGCGCAUUAGCUAGUUGGUGGGGUAACGGCCUACCAAGGCGACGAUGCGUAGCCGACCUGAGAGGGUGAUCGGCCACAUUGGGACUGAGACACGGCCCAGACUCCUACGGGAGGCAGCAGUGGGGAAUAUUGCACAAUGGGGGAAACCCUGAUGCAGCAACGCCGCGUGAGUGAUGAAGGUUUUCGGAUCGUAAAGCUCUGUCUUUGGGGAAGAUAAUGACGGUACCCAAGGAGGAAGCCACGGCUAACUACGUGCCAGCAGCCGCGGUAAUACGUAGGUGGCGAGCGUUAUCCGGAUUUACUGGGCGUAAAGGGAGCGUAGGCGGAUGAUUAAGUGGGAUGUGAAAUACCCGGGCUCAACUUGGGUGCUGCAUUCCAAACUGGUUAUCUAGAGUGCAGGAGAGGAGAGUGGAAUUCCUAGUGUAGCGGUGAAAUGCGUAGA
rnacentral:rRNA from 1 species